UUCUUGGAGAGUUUGAUCCUGGCUCAGGACGAACGCUGGCGGCGUGCCUAAUACAUGCAAGUCGAGCGGACUUGAUGGAGAGCUUGCUC
rnacentral:rRNA from 1 species